UACAGAGGGUGCGAGCGUUAAUCGGAAUUACUGGGCGUAAAGCGCGCGUAGGCGGCUUUGCAAGUCGGGUGUGAAAUCCCCAGGCUUAACCUGGGAACUGCAUUCGAGACUGCAUUGCUAGAGUAUGGGAGAGGGAAGUGGAAUUUCCGGUGUAGCGGUGAAAUGCGUAGAUAUCGGAAGGAACAUCAGUGGCGAAAGCGACUUCCUGGACCAAUCCUGACGCUCAUGUGCGAAAGCGUGGGGAGCAAACAGG
rnacentral:rRNA from 1 species